GUGCUGGAUGAUGAAGACAUGGUCUCUUACAUUCUCUUCGGCCUUGACAUCGACUUCAACCCUGUGGUGUCCACCAUUGCAGGACGUUCGGAUCCCGUCUUGGUGAGUGAGGUAUACUCACAACUCCUUGCCUUCGAAC
rnacentral:snoRNA from 1 species